rnacentral:rRNA from 1 species
CCCUUAGAUGUCCUGGGCCGCACGCGUGCUACACUGACGCUUACAGCGAGUACUUCCCAGCCCCGAGAGGUGGCUGGUAAUCAGCAAUAGGCGUCGUGAUGGGGAUAGAUCUUUGGAAUUAUGGAUCUUGAACGAGGAAUGCCUAGUAAGCGCAGGUCAUUAGCCUGCGCUGAUUAAGUCCCUGCCCUUUGUACACACCGCCCGUCGCUCCUACCGAUUUCGAGUGGUCCGGUGAAUCUUUCGGACUGCGCGCGGCCUCGUGCCGUGUCGCGGAAAGUCAGGUAAACCUUAUCACUUAGAGGAAGGAGAAGUCGUAACA